rnacentral:rRNA from 1 species
UACGGAGGGUGCAAGCGUUAUCCGGAUUCACUGGGUUUAAAGGGUGCGUAGGCGGGCAGGUAAGUCAGUGGUGAAAUCCUAGAGCUUAACUUGGGAACUGCCGUUGAUACUAUAUAUCUUGAAUGUCGUGGAGGUUAGCGGAAUAUGUCAUGUAGCGGUGAAAUGCUUAGAUAUGACAUAGAACACCCAUUGCGAAGGCAGCUAACUACGCGAAUAUUGACGCUGAGGCACGAAAGCGUGGGGAUCAAACAGG